rnacentral:rRNA from 1 species
GACGAACGCUGGCGGCGUGCUUAACACAUGCAAGUCGAACGAUGAAGCCUUAUCUUGCUUUGGUGGAUUAGUGGCGAACGGGUGAGUAACACGUGAGCAACGUGCCCAGGACUCUGGAAUAACCGCGGGAAACCGUGGCUAAUACCGGAUAGGUGCCGAGGCCUCAUGGUCUUCGGUUGGAAAGUUUUUGCGGUUCUGGAUCGGCUCACGGCCUAUCAGCUUGUUGGUUGGGUAAUGGCCUACCAAGGCGACGACGGGUAGCCGGCCUGAGGGGGUGACCGGCCACACUGGGACUGAGACACGGCCCAGACUCCGACGGGAGGCAGCAGUGGGGAAUAUUGCACAAUGGGCGCAAGCCUGAUGCAGCAACGCCGCGUGGGGGAUGACGGCCUUCGGGUUGUAAACCUCUUUUAGUAGGGAAGAAGCGCAAGUGACGGUACCUGCAGAAAAAGCACCGGCUAACUACGUG